rnacentral:rRNA from 1 species
GACGAACCGAGCGAACGUUGUUCGGAAUCACUGGGCUUAAAGGGUGCGUAGGCGGCAUCAUAGUCUGUGGUGAAAUCCGGCAGCUUAACUGUCGAAUUGCCAUGGAUACUGGGUGUCUCGAGGGAGGCAGGGGUACGCGGAACUGAUGGUGGAGCGGUGAAAUGCGUUGAUAUCAUCAGGAACUCCGGUGGCGAAGGCGGCGCACUGGUCCUUUUCUGACGCUGAGGCGCGAAAGCCAGGGGAGCAAACGGG